rnacentral:rRNA from 1 species
UGAAUACGAGACGCUAAGGCGUCGAAGUAGUGUAUGUCAUACUUCCAAGAAAAGCUUGCACUGUCAUAGAUAAAAAACGCCUGUACCAUAACCGACACAGGUGGGUAGGUAGAGUAUACUAAGGGGCGCGAGAUAACUCUCUCUAAGGAACUCGGCAAAAUAACUCCGUAACUUCGGGAGAAGGAGUGCCUUAUUCGUAAGGUUGCAAUAACAAGAUCCAAGCAACUGUUUAUCAAAAACACAGGUCUCCGCUAAGUCGUAAGACGAUGUAUGGGGGCUGACGCCUGCCCAGUGCCAGAAGGUUAAAGAAGUUGGUUAGCAAUUGCGAAGCUGAUAACUGAAGCCCUGGUGAACGGCGGCCGUAACAAUAACGGUCCUAAGGUAGCGAAAUUCCUUGUCGGGUAAGUUCCGACCCGCACGAAAGGCGUAAUGAUUUGGAUACUGUCUCGGAGAGGGGCUCGGUGAAAUAGACUUGUCUGUGAAGAUGCGGACUACCUGCACCAGGACAGAAAGACCCUAUGAAGCUUUACUGUAACUUGAAAUUGAAAUUGGACUUUAUUCGCGCAGUAUAGGUGGGAGGCGUUGAUUAUAAUCUUGUGGGAUUAUUGGAGCCAUCAGUGAGAUACCACUCUUGUAAUGUUAGAUUUCUAACUUUGAAUCAUUAUCUGGUCAAAGAACAGUUUCAGGCGGGCAGUUUGACUGGGGCGGUCGCCUCCUAAACGGUAACGGAGGCGUACAAAGGUUUCCUCUGAACGGUUAGAAAUCGUAUCUAGAGUGUAAAGGCAUAAGGAAGCUUGACUGUGAGACCUACAAGUCGAGCAGGGACGAAAGUCGGUCUUAGUGAUCUGACGGUACUGAGUGGAAAGGCCGUCACUCAACGGAUAAAAGUUACUCUAGGAUAACAGGCUGAUCUCCCCCAAGAGUUCACAUCGACGGGGAGGUUUGGCACCUCGAUGUCGGCUCAUCGCAUCCUGGGGCGGUAGUACGUCCCAAGGGUUGGGCUGUUCGCCCAUGAGAGCGGUACGCGAGCUGGGUUCAGAACGUUGUGAGACAGUUCGGUCCAUAUCCGGUGUAGGCGUUAGAAUAUUGAGAGGAGCCUUCUUUAGUACGAGAGGACCGAGAAGGACAUACCUCUGGUGUACCAGUUAUCGUGCAAACGGUAAACGCUGGGUAGCUAUGUAUGGAGUGGAUAACCGCUGAAAGCAUCUAAGUGGGAAGCCCACCUCAAGAUAAGUA